rnacentral:hammerhead_ribozyme from 11 species
AACUAGUUGGGAGCUAGAGCCAUUCCCCUUAUGAGUCCAUGGCAAGACGAAACCAGUC